rnacentral:rRNA from 1 species
UACGUAGGGUGCGAGCGUUGUCCGGAAUUAUUGGGCGUAAAGAGCUCGUAGGCGGUCUGUCGCGUCGACUCGUGAAAACUUGGGGCUUAACCCUGAGCUUGCGGUCGAUACGGGCAUGACUGGAGUUCGGCAGGGGAGACUGGAAUUCCUGGUGUAGCGGUGAAAUGCGCAGAUAUCAGGAAGAACACCCGUGGCGAAAGCGGCUCUCUGGAACGGUACUGACGCUGAGGUGCGAAAGCGUGGGGAGCAAACAGG